rnacentral:tRNA from 1 species
UCCUAUUAAAUAAUUAUUUAUUCCUUUUAUUGAAAAGAGGGGGGGGGGAAAAUAGAAUC